rnacentral:rRNA from 1 species
GUCGAGAAUUUUUCUCAAUGGGGGCAACCCUGAAGGAGCGACGCCGCGUGGAGGAUGAAGGUCUUCGGAUUGUAAACUCCUGUCAUUUGGGAACAAACCCUCCGGUUAACUGCCGGAAGGCUGAUAGUACCAGAAGAGGAAGAGACGGCUAACUCUGUGCCAGCAGCCGCGGUAAUACAGAGGUCUCAACCGUUGUUCGGAUUCAUUGGGCGUAAAGGGUGCGUAGGCGGCGGGGUAAGUCAGGUGUGAAAUCUCGGGGCUCAACCCCGAAACUGCACUUGAUACUGCCUUGCUCGAGUACUGGAGAGGAGACUGGAAUUUACGGUGUAGCAGUGAAAUGCGUAGAUAUCGUAAGGAAGACCAGUGGCGAAGGCGAGUCUCUGGACAGUUACUGACGCUGAGGCACGAAGGCCAGGGGAGCAAACGGGAUUAGAAACCCGUGUAGUCC